AAUCCUGGCUCAGAUUGAACGCUUGGCGGCAGGCCUAACACAUGCAAGUUCGAGCGAGAAAGGUCUUCGGGCUGAGUUACAGCGGCGACGGGUGAGUAACGCGUAGGAAUCUACCUGGUAGUGGGGGGACAACAUGGUGAAAACCAUGCUAAUACCGCAUACGCCCUAUGGGGGAAAGCGGGGGACCUUCGGGCCUCGCGCUAUCAGAUGAGCCUGCGUAGGAUUAGCUUGUUGGUGAGGUAAAGGCUCACCAAGGCGACGAUCCUUAGCUGGUCUGAGAGGAUGAUCAGCCACACUGGAACUGAGACACGGUCCAGACUCCUACGGGAGGCAGCAGUGGGGAAUAUUGCGCAAUGGGCGAAAGCCUGACGCAGCCAUGCCGCGUGUGUGAAGAAGGCCCUUGGGUUGUAAAGCACUUUCAAUUGGGAAGAAAGGUUGCGUGUUAAUAGCACGUAGCUGUGACGUUACCUUUAGAAGAAGCACCGGCUAACUCCGUG
rnacentral:rRNA from 1 species